rnacentral:misc_RNA from 1 species
GUUUUGUUGCUUAAAAAAACGGAGACAUUACCCAACAAGGUUGUUGAAUAAUUCAAUUAGUCAGGUUUAAAGCUAAAGCAUACAACAAUAGUUUGACUUCAACAACUCAGAAAAUUAUUUUGGCAUUUAUCAUGAUGGCUCAACACUCAUCGCAACAUGCUCUAAUGACCACAGAAAUUCACUGCACAUAUUCACCCUUUCUUUGGUGACGCUGCAAGUCUAGUAUACAUUCUUGCCAUGGAUUGAUAACCUCUGAUAUCACCAGAACGUAGAAGAUUGCCUGAAUCACAGUUCAAAGGGCUAUCAGGUUCAGGGUGAGCCAUCAAAGCAAUUAUAGCCCUGCAAACAGACUGAAGUGUCCAGGCUGGGCUCCAUGCAUUCUUCAAGAUAUCAAGACAUAUCUCUCCUGUCUUAAAAUGCACAUUUGGAUGAAAUAUUUUUGUCAAGAACCGCACUUGAGGAGGCUGCAGAGGAUACUGCUCUGGAACAGAAAAGGCAAGUUGGAAGACUCCGCCCUCAUAAGGAGUCUCUGUUGGUCCCUUGAUAAGAGCAGUCCACUUAAAGAUGUUGGAAUCGUCACAAACUAAUUGAAUAUCAGGAUCAACUGCUUUCUCACGCUGCACCUCUUUGUAUUCCUUGAACAGCCUUGCCCUUGAUGCCUGCAUGCUAGUCCCUUCUUGGUAACCCAAUAGACUUCAGAAAGCCUAUAAAUCCAACGGUGACCAAAUAACUGAUAAGCUAUCUCAGAUGCGAUGGAAGUUACAGGGGACUUCGAUGAUCUGAUUGAUUGUUGAGAAGGAAUG